GAACGAACGCUGGCGGCGUGCUUAACACAUGCAAGUCGAACGCGAAAGGGGGGCAACCCCCGGUAGCGUGGCAGACGGGUGAGUAACACGUGGGCAACCUGCCCGGAGGUGGGGGGAUAACUCUUCGAAAGGAGAGCUAAUACCGCAUAACACCCCGAGGUUCUCGGACUUUGGGUUCAAAGCUAGCCUCUGCUUGCAAGCUAGCGCCACCGGGAGGGGCCCGCGCCCCAUUAGCUAGUUGGUGAGGUAACGGCCACCAAGGCGACGAUGGGUAGCCGGCCUAAGAGGGCGACCGGCCACACUGGAACUGAGACACGGUCCAGACUCCUACGGGAGGCAGCAGUGAGGAAUCUUGCGCAAUGGGCGAAAGCCUGACGNAGCGACNCCGCGUGGAGGAUGAAGGUCUUCGGAU
rnacentral:rRNA from 1 species